rnacentral:rRNA from 1 species
AACGAACGCUGGCGGCAGGCUUAACACAUGCGAGUCGAACGCCCCUUUCGGGGGGAGUGGCAGACGGGUGAGUAACGCGUGGGAACGUGCCCUUCAGUUUGGAAUAACCCAGGGAAACUUGGGCUAAUACCGGAUACGCCCUUCGGGGGAAAGAUUUAUCGCUGAAGGAUCGGCCCGCGUCUGAUUAGCUGGUUGGUGAGGUAAUGGCUCACCAAGGCGACGAUCAGUAGCUGGUCUGAGAGGAUGAUCAGCCACAUUGGGACUGAGACACGGCCCAAACUCCUACGGGAGGCAGCAGUGGGGAAUAUUGGACAAUGGGCGCAAGCCUGAUCCAGCCAUGCCGCGUGAGUGAUGACGGCCUUAGGGUUGUAAAGCUCUUUCGCACGCGACGAUAAUGACGGUAGCGUGAGAAGAAGCCCCGGCUAACUUCGUGCCAGCCGCCGCAGUAAGAC